ACCGUGCAAAGGUAGCAUAAUCAUUAGUUUUUUAAUUGGAAGCUGGAAUGAACGGUUGGACGAGAAAAUAACUGUCUCAAUUUAAUUGGAUAUAGAAUUUUAUUUAUAAGUAAAAAAGCUUAUAUAAUUUUAAAAGACGAGAAGACCCUAUAGAGUUUUAUAUUUUAUUAUAUUAAUAAGGUUUAGUAUUUUUAUAUUUUUAAUAUAAUAAAUUAUUUUGCUGGGGCAGCAGAAAAAUUGAUUUAACUUUUUUUGAUUUAUUUACAUUGAUAUAUGGUUAACUGAUCCAUUAUUUAUGAUUACAAGAUUAAAUUACCUUAGGGAUAACAGCGUAAUUUUUUUUUAGAGUUCUUAUCGAAAAAAGAGUUU
rnacentral:rRNA from 1 species